rnacentral:rRNA from 1 species
GAUGAACGCUGGCGGCGUGCCUAAUACAUGCAAGUCGAACGGUAAGGCCCUUCGGGGUACACGAGUGGCGAACGGGUGAGUAACACGUGGGUGAUCUGCCCUGCACUUCGGGAUAAGCCUGGGAAACUGGGUCUAAUACCGGAUAGGACCACUGCCGACAUGGGGGGUGGUGGAAAGCUUUUACGGUGUGGGAUGGGCCCGGGGCCUAUCAGCUUGUUGGUGAGGUAAUGGCGCACCAAGGCGACGACGGGUAGCCGGCCUGAGAGGGCGAACGGCCACACUGGGACUGAGACACGGCCCAGACUCCUACGGGAGGCAGCAGUGGGGAAUAUUGGGCAAUGGAGGAAACUCUGACCCAGCGACGCCGCGUGAGGGAUGAAGGCCUUCGGGUUGUAAACCUCUUUCAGUAGGGAAGAAGCGAAAGUGACGGUACCUACAGAAGAAGCACCGGCUAACUAUGUGCCAGCAGCCGCCGUAA